rnacentral:rRNA from 1 species
GAUGGCACAAUGAGUCGCAAACUCGCGAGAGGGAGCCAAUCUCAAGAAACCAUUCUCAGUUCGGAUUGCAGUCUGCAACUCGACUGCAUGAAGCUGGAAUCGCUAGUAAUCGCUGAUCAGCAAGCAGCGGUGAAUACGUUCCCGGGCCUUGUACACACCGCCCGUCACAUCACGAAAGCCCGUUGUACUAGAAGCCGGCAAUUCAACCGCAAGGAGAUAGCCGUCCAAGGUAUGACUGGUGAUUGGGGUG